GACGAACGCUGGCGGCGUGCUUAACACAUGCAAGUCGAACGAAGAGCGAUGGAAGCUUGCUUCUAUCAAUCUUAGUGGCGAACGGGUGAGUAACGCGUAAUCAACCUGCCCUUCAGAGGGGGACAACAGUUGGAAACGACUGCUAAUACCGCAUACGAUCUAACCUCGGCAUCGAGGAAAGAUGAAAGGUGGCCUCUAUGUAUAAGCUAUCACUGAAGGAGGGGAUUGCGUCUGAUUAGCUAGUUGGAGGGGUAACGGCCCACCAAGGCGAUGAUCAGUAGCCGGUCUGAGAGGAUGAACGGCCACAUUGGGACUGAGACACGGCCCAGACUCCUACGGGAGGCAGCAGUGGGGAAUCUUCCGCAAUGGACGAAAGUCUGACGGAGCAACGCCGCGUGAGUGAUGACGGCCUUCGGGUUGUAAAGCUCUGUUAAUCGGGACGAAAGGCCUUCUUGCGAAUAGUAGAAGGA
rnacentral:rRNA from 1 species